CUCCCCACCCCAUUUUUUUUUUGGAAGAUAAUUAAUUCUUCGUUUCGAACGCAUCUGAAAUAUCGUUAGGAGGAGGCCACGGCCAAACAACAAACUGCCGUUGAAAAUUGAAAGCAGACCGCCUGUCUCCGUCUCCAUACAGCCCCACUUCCCCAACCCUCUCAAAAUCUGAAUCAAGCGACCAAGAAGAAGGAGAAACCUUUGGUUCUGUUUGUGGUGAAACGUAAACGGCAAGUGAUUUGAUUUUCAAUUUUGGAAGAUCGGCCUGUGUGUUUUUGUUUGUGUUUGUAUUUGUGGUGUCGGUGGAGAUGGAGGUGCCGAGCUCAUGGGACGCUCUUCGCAAGCAGGCAAGGAAACUUGAAGCUCAGUUGGAUGAGCAGAUGAAUUCUUAUCGUAAGUUUGUCUCUGCAAAGGGUUCUGCAAAAGUUGGUACUGCUGAGAAUGAUCUUGAAUCUGUGAUAGAUCGACUAUUAAAGCAACUCCAACAAGUAAAUUCACAAAUGCAGGCAUGGGUAUCAUCAGGAGGAUCAGAAAUGGUUUCUCAUACCUUGACUAGACAUCAAGAAAUUUUCCAAGAUCUCACUCAGGAGUUCUAUCGUCUCCGCAACAGCCUUAGAGCUAAGCAAGAGCAUGCUUCACUCCUUGAGGAUUUUAGGGAGUUUGAUCGAACAAGAGUAGACUUGGAAGAUGGUGUUGGCUCUGCGGAAAACGCUCUCCUGAAAGAGCAUGCUGCUGUUAGCCGAAGUACAGGACAGGUGGAUACUGUGAUCUCUCAAGCUCAAGCAACCCUUGGUUCACUUGUCCUUCAACGCUCCACUUUUGGUGGUAUUAAUUCGAAGCUCAGCAAUAUUGGCAGCCGCCUUCCAACGGUAAAUCAAAUGCUGUCUGCUAUAAAGCGUAAAAAGUCUCUGGAUACCAUCAUUCUUUCUCUCGUUGCGUCUGUAUGCACAUUUCUCAUAUUUAUCUACUGGUUGUCAAAGUGAGGAUCUAUGAGGAUCAGGCAUUUGUGUGGGGGGACCAUCUGUGAGUGAGAAAGAGAAAGAGAUACCGUUUUUUCCUUGAGUUUUCUCGAACGUACCUGUAUUACUCAGGGUUACAGCGUGCCACAAGCGUAACGAUGACGGUGCCCCUCUUUGGGUGCUGCAACCAUGGCAGCGACCAGACCACCCGCCAUCUCUAGUUAAGGUCACACAAUUACUUAUUGAAAUAAAUGAAACUUGUGUCUGGAAUAUUUUGUUGGUAUGGUUUCCAAGCUAUAUAGAUAAUUCCCCCGAUCACCCACGGAUAGAGUUUGAGUAUGAAUGCUAUACAUCUCUUGUUCAGCAUAUAGGAUUAGCAGGGAACGGAACUAACUCGGCCUACCCUGUAUGAUUGCUUACCUUCCAUUAUUCCACAUGGCUCGGGCAGGCGCUUUUUUUUCAUCAGGCUCAAGCAGCAGGCCUUGGCCCUCAACUAAUGAUCAUCUCAUCAUUUUUUUUUGGUUUUUUGCACACACCUAUCUCUCUCUCUCUCUCUC